UUUAAAUUCUAGAGUCUGGCAAACGAAAGAAGAGACUGGAAAAGCGCGGCAUAUUCAAAAAAUAUCAGCACGGCAUCGGCAGCCCAAAAAUUAGUAU